AGGUGAAUUACUGGGCAAUGACUUCUUUGGCAGAAGUUGAAUCAGAGCCGAGAAGCUAACAAACUUACUGCCAAAGAAGAUUUGCCCCGCAAUUCACUC
rnacentral:pre_miRNA from 1 species